GUAGGAGUGAGCCUGCUCGCGAUAGCCAUUGGUCAGUCAAAGCUGCAGUGACUGACACACCGCAAUCGCGAGCAGGCUCACUCCUAC
rnacentral:misc_RNA from 1 species